rnacentral:rRNA from 1 species
GUGCCAGCCGCCGCGGUAAUACGGAGGGUGCAAGCGUUAAUCGGAAUUACUGGGCGUAAAGCGCGCGUAGGUGGCUUGAUAAGCCGGUUGUGAAAGCCCCGGGCUCAACCUGGGAACGGCAUCCGGAACUGUCAGGCUAGAGUGCAGGAGAGGAAGGUAGAAUUCCCGGUGUAGCGGUGAAAUGCGUAGAGAUCGGGAGGAAUACCAGUGGCGAAGGCGGCCUUCUGGACUGACACUGACACUGAGGUGCGAAAGCGUGGGUAGCAAACAGGAUUAGAUACCCUGGUAGUCCACGCCGUAAACGAUGUCGACCAGCCGUUGGGUGCCUAGAGCACUUUGUGGCGAAGUUAACGCGAUAAGUCGACCGCCUGGGGAGUACGGCCGCAAGGUUAAAACUCAAAUGAAUUGACGGGGGCCCGCACAAGCGGUGGAGCAUGUGGUUUAAUUCGAUGCAACGCGAAGAACCUUACCUACCCUUGACAUCUACAGAAGCCGGAAGAGAUUCUGGUGUGCCUUCGGGAACUGUAAGACAGGUGCUGCAUGGCUGUCGUCAGCUCGUGUUGUGAAAUGUUGGGUUAAGUCCCGUAACGAGCGCAACCCUUGUCCUUAUUUGCCAGCGAGUAAUGUCGGGAACUCUAAGGAGACUGCCGGUGACAAACCGGAGGAAGGUGGGGACGACGUCAAGUCAUCAUGGCCCUUACGGGUAGGGCUACACACGUGCUACAAUGGCCGGUACAAAGGGCUGCGAGCUCGCGAGAGUCAGCGAAUCCCUUAAAGCCGGUCUCAGUCCGGAUCGGAGUCUGCAACUCGACUCCGUGAAGUCGGAAUCGCUAGUAAUCGUGAAUCAGAAUGUCACGGUGAAUACGUUCCCGGGCCUUGCACACACCGCCCGUC